CAAAAGAAAGUUUAUAUUUGAAUAGUGAUUUUGGGAAUCGUUGGUCUUGCUUAGCAAGUCUUUUGG
rnacentral:tRNA from 1 species